rnacentral:tRNA from 1 species
GGGGAUUUAGCUCAGGGGCACAGCACCUGCCUGGGAAGCAUGAGGUCCUGAGUUCAAAUCCCCA